rnacentral:misc_RNA from 1 species
GAAAUGCGAUAAGUAAUGUGAAUUGCAGAAUUCCGUGAAUCAUCGAAUCUUUGAACGCAACUUGCGCCUCUCUGAGGCAUGACUGUUUGAGGGCCGCAAACCCGAUGUAUGCGAGUAGGUUGUGCUACAGCGCAACGCUUGCUUGCAUGCGUGUUGACGGCAGUGCGGGCUCGCCCGGACUCUGUCCAAAGAUAGCCAGUUGGCCGCUACUGCGUCCAGUCCGAGUGCUAAGCAUUCUUGGGUGGGAUACAGCAGCGAGCAAGGGAUGGGAAUGGGUAUGGGUAUGGUUUCAUCCAUCUCGUUCAUCCCAUCCCUCUUCCACCGGCCUCAAAUCAGUCAGGACUACCCGCUGAACUUAA